CGUAUAGCCUCACAAGUGUAUGACGGCAAAGCAUUGGAGAGAUUUUUAGGAGAAAUCAUUAGGCCUAUGGAUAGACAAUAAAAGUGAUAUCGGAGAUUGUUUUAUUAUAAUAAAAUGUGUUUUGAAUGUAUUUGUGUGUGGAACUACGGGUGUAUGAGGGCGUGGAGGAAGACUCGGUAGACAGGCGGAAUUUUAACAGAGCUCCGGGCUCGCGUUUAUUCAGUCCGCGCACUUUCAAAGCUAAAAAAAAACAAAAACAAACAACCUCACAACAGGAAACAGGUCGGUCCCGAACUCACAGCUUUCACUCAGUCAAGUUCAAGUUCACGCUUCUUGGGGUGUGUGUGUGUGUGUGUGUGUGUGUGUGUGUGUGUGUGUGUAUAUAAGCUCUCUCUCUCGCUCGCUCUGGUUACAGGACUCGCUGAAAGCACGAAAGCACGGGAAGAUCGACCAGUGAUUGUCUUGCGACGUAAUGAGCACCCCUGCCUUACUGUUAUGAGUUACUGUACUGUUACAACACUUCCAACAUUGCCAGAGGAACCACUGAGCACUCCCAGUGUCUCAGGGCGCUAUCGGGUUGUUCCUUGCGAGGUGUAUCAGCUCCUUCUCCGCCACCUACUGGGUUGGAGUAUGGAGCGUCGACGUGAAGGCAAAAAAGAGAGAAAAAAACAGCAACAACUAUCGUCUAAAUCCCACUGUACACGCUACUGUCUCAUGGUGUGGAGGGCAGUGAGGUGGUACAUGGCAUGGCUAAAUUCAUUAACUGGAUACAAACAUGAACACGGAACAGACAGUAAUACUGAACUCUUAAAAACACCAGGCAGUGCUGUCACACUGAGACUCAGAG